CGCGGAGUAGAGCAGUUUGGUAGCUCGUCGGGCUCAUAACCCGAAGGUCAUAGGUUCAAGUCCUGUCUCCGCAACCA
rnacentral:tRNA from 1 species